GCUGACGAGAGGUGUCGCUUUACAUCCGGUGGAAACGAAUGUAAUAUAUCGUAAGGUCAUGGAAAUACAGAAAAAAGACUGCUACCUGUUCUAGGCAAGGGUGGAAUCGUUACAAGAAAGGCCUUUGAUUAUAUGAUGUGUUGCAUUUCUGAUGUCAGUUUUUUUUGUGUAAUAAAUAAAAAUCUUUUAUAUAUCUGC